rnacentral:lncRNA from 12 species
AUACUGGAGACACACUGUGAAGUCUAGAUUACUUAAGGUCAAAUUCGAUUCUUAGUCCUUUAAGUGUUUAGAAAAUUGAGAUGAAGAGACGGGCACUGAGGGGGGCACUUGAGGGGAUGAGCACUGGGUGUUAUUCUAUAUGUUGGCAAAUUGAACACCAAUAAAAAAUAAAUUUAUAUAAAAAAAAGAAAGAGGCUGAGAUUUUGGAUCUGAUAUCACUCAGCAAUACCUUGCAAUGAAAUCAACUUUCCUUUGUGAAAUUCUGAAAGUAAACACUAAUAUCUGAAUCUUACACUGAAUCUAAUAUCAAAGUAAUAGACUGGGCUUGAAGCUGGAGAGGAGGGAAAAAAAGAAACUUCUUUAUAUACAGACUGUAAUUCUCUAGCAUUUCAGGGAUUUCUGGGAAGACUUAUUUAAUCUACCUUGUCAUGUGCUGACAUUUAAUAAACACCUCACUCCUUUCCAGGUAUUUUUAACAGUGAGCUGCAGAAGAGUAAAUCCCUGGCCAGUUAACAGUAUUGAAAUGACCGAACAGCUUCUCUCUUGAAAAACAAGACUAAUGGUCUGUGGGAAUUCUGGGAAGGUGGUAGAGAAGCAUCAGGUGUUAUAGGAGAAAAGGCCUUCAAUUGUCUUAAGGUACGUGAGAAUUCAGUAACUGGUUCCAGAGGUUGUUUAUGGUAUUUUACUAUUGGAGUCACUGUCAUCAUUUUUUCUGCCUGGCUUCAUUCCCAACCUUCUAGGCCUUUUCCACUUCAAACAUUUUCUACACACUUCUCAGCAUUAUUUUGCUUUCUGAGAACUCUGACUAUGUCAAUCCAGCUUCUCAAAGGCCCCUCGGAGGCUUUUCUUCACUCUUUAGCUUGACUGCUGACUGCUACCUUCAAAACUCUCUAACACUGUUCCCACAUUACCUGUCUGUCCUCUCCCCAAGGUCACUGCAGUAUGUCCUGUGAAAUGGUAAAGCAGUCUGGGAAGAAGGCUCUGGCCGUGCACACUUCUUUGUUAACCUAGCCAUGUUACCCCUGCUUAUUUGCAUCUACUUCCCAGGUAGUUGCAAGCUAAAGGAGGAGCUCUGAGUCAGAGCCUGCUUGGUCUAUAGGCCUUCAUGUGAUCUGAACCUUUGCAUACAAGUAGUAGGAAUAUAUACGUUCAAUAGACAUUUUCAUAAGCAAUUUUUCUCUUUUUUAGCUUUAAUGUCUUCCCAUAUUGCAUUCAUCUGCAUAACAGUAAACACAUGCCCCGACAGAAAGUUGCAGGCAGGGAUAUUUAUUUAUAACAGAUGGCACAAAGCAGGAGCAUGAUGAAUUGGUGUGUGGCUCCUGAACUAGCAGGCCCAUAAAUAAAGUAUCCUCAAAGCUACUUUGGGGAUCUUGC